rnacentral:rRNA from 1 species
GAUGAAUGCUGGCGGCGUGCCUAAUACAUGCAAGUCGAGCGGUAAGGCCCUUCGGGGUACACGAGCGGCGGACGGCUGAGUAACGCGUGGGAACGUGCCCCAAAGUGAGGGAUAACCUCGAGAAAUCGAGGCUAAUACCGCAUAUGGUCUUCGGAUUAAAGGAUUUAUCCGCUUUGGGAGCGGCCCGCGUACGAUUAGUUUGUUGGUGAGGUAAUGGCUCACCAAGACUACGAUCGUUAACUGGUCUGAGAGGAUGAUCAGUCAGACUGGAACUGAGACACGGUCCAGACUCCUACGGGAGGCAGCAGUAAGGAAUCUUCCACAAUGGGCGAAAGCCUGAUGGAGCAACGCCGCGUGCAGGAUGGAAGGCCCUCGGGUCGUAAACUGCUUUUAUGAGUGAAGAAUAUGACGGUAACUCAUGAAUAAGCACCGGCUAACUACGUGCCAGCAGCCGCGGUAA